UGCCCGCUGGGGAAUGAGGCCUCCCCGGCGGGCGCGCUCGCCGAACCGCAUGGCGCUGAUGGCUUCUGCGUUGGG
rnacentral:ncRNA from 2 species